UUAAGUUAUUAAGGGCGCACGGUGGAUGCCUUGGCACUAGAAGCCGAUGAAGGACGUUACUAACGACGAUAUGCUUUGGGGAGCUGUAAGUAAGCUUUGAUCCAGAGAUUUCCGAAUGGGGAAACCCAGCAUGAGUUAUGUCAUGUUAUCGAUAUGUGAAUACAUAGCAUAUCAGAAGGCACACCCGGAGAACUGAAACAUCUUAGUACCCGGAGGAAGAGAAAGAAAAUUCGAUUCCCUUAGUAGCGGCGAGCGAAACGGGAAGAGCCCAAACCAACAAGCUUGCUUGUUGGGGUUGUAGGACACUCUGUACGGAGUUACAAAGGACGACAUUAGACGAAUCAUCUGGAAAGAUGAAUCAAAGAAGGUAAUAAUCCUGUAGUCGAAAAUGUUGUCUCUCUUGAGUGGAUCCUGAGUACGACGGAGCACGUGAAAUUCCGUCGGAAUCUGGGAGGACCAUCUCCUAAGGCUAAAUACUCUCUAGUGACCGAUAGUGAACCAGUACCGUGAGGGAAAGGUGAAAAGCACCCCGGAAGGGGAGUGAAAUAGAACCUGAAACCGUGUGCUUACAAGUAGUCAGAGCCCGUUAAUGGGUGAUGGCGUGCCUUUUGUAGAAUGAACCGGCGAGUUACGAUUUGAUGCAAGGUUAAGCAGUAAAUGUGGAGCCGUAGCGAAAGCGAGUCUGAAUAGGGCGUUUAGUAUUUGGUCGUAGACCCGAAACCAGGUGAUCUACCCUUGGUCAGGUUGAAGUUCAGGUAACACUGAAUGGAGGACCGAACCGACUUACGUUGAAAAGUGAGCGGAUGAACUGAGGGUAGCGGAGAAAUUCCAAUCGAACCUGGAGAUAGCUGGUUCUCUCCGAAAUAGCUUUAGGGCUAGCCUCAAGUGAUGAUUAUUGGAGGUAGAGCACUGUUUGGACGAGGGGCCCCUCUCGGGUUACCGAAUUCAGACAAACUCCGAAUGCCAAUUAAUUUAACUUGGGAGUCAGAACAUGGGUGAUAAGGUCCGUGUUCGAAAGGGAAACAGCCCAGACCACCAGCUAAGGUCCCAAAAUAUAUGUUAAGUGGAAAAGGAUGUGGCGUUGCCCAGACAACUAGGAUGUUGGCUUAGAAGCAGCCAUCAUUUAAAGAGUGCGUAAUAGCUCACUAGUCGAGUGACACUGCGCCGAAAAUGUACCGGGGCUAAACAUAUUACCGAAGCUGUGGAUUGUCCUUUGGACAAUGGUAGGAGAGCGUUCUAAGGGCGUUGAAGCAUGAUCAUAAGGACAUGUGGAGCGCUUAGAAGUGAGAAUGCCGGUGUGAGUAGCGAAAGACGGGUGAGAAUCCCGUCCACCGAUUGACUAAGGUUUCCAGAGGAAGGCUCGUCCGCUCUGGGUUAGUCGGGUCCUAAGCUGAGGCCGACAGGCGUAGGCGAUGGAUAACAGGUUGAUAUUCCUGUACCACCUAUAAUCGUUUUAAUCGAUGGGGGGACGCAGUAGGAUAGGCGAAGCGUGCGAUUGGAUUGCACGUCUAAGCAGUAAGGCUGAGUAUUAGGCAAAUCCGGUACUCGUUAAGGCUGAGCUGUGAUGGGGAGAAGACAUUGAGUCUUCGAGUCGUUGAUUUCACACUGCCGAGAAAAGCCUCUAGAUAGAAAAUAGGUGCCCGUACCGCAAACCGACACAGGUAGUCAAGAUGAGAAUUCUAAGGUGAGCGAGCGAACUCUCGUUAAGGAACUCGGCAAAAUGACCCCGUAACUUCGGGAGAAGGGGUGCUCUUUAGGGUUAACGCCCAGAAGAGCCGCAGUGAAUAGGCCCAAGCGACUGUUUAUCAAAAACACAGGUCUCUGCUAAACCGUAAGGUGAUGUAUAGGGGCUGACGCCUGCCCGGUGCUGGAAGGUUAAGAGGAGUGGUUAGCUUCUGCGAAGCUACGAAUCGAAGCCCCAGUAAACGGCGGCCGUAACUAUAACGGUCCUAAGGUAGCGAAAUUCCUUGUCGGGUAAGUUCCGACCCGCACGAAAGGCGUAACGAUUUGGGCACUGUCUCAACGAGAGACUCGGUGAAAUCAUAGUACCUGUGAAGAUGCAGGUUACCCGCGACAGGACGGAAAGACCCCGUGGAGCUUUACUGUAGCCUGAUAUUGAAAUUCGGCACAGCUUGUACAGGAUAGGUAGGAGCCUUUGAAACGUGAGCGCUAGCUUACGUGGAGGCGCUGGUGGGAUACUACCCUAGCUGUGUUGGCUUUCUAACCCGCACCACUUAUCGUGGUGGGAGACAGUGUCAGGCGGGCAGUUUGACUGGGGCGGUCGCCUCCUAAAAGGUAACGGAGGCGCUCAAAGGUUCCCUCAGAAUGGUUGGAAAUCAUUCAUAGAGUGUAAAGGCAUAAGGGAGCUUGACUGCGAGACCUACAAGUCGAGCAGGGUCGAAAGACGGACUUAGUGAUCCGGUGGUUCCGCAUGGAAGGGCCAUCGCUCAACGGAUAAAAGCUACCCCGGGGAUAACAGGCUUAUCUCCCCCAAGAGUUCACAUCGACGGGGAGGUUUGGCACCUCGAUGUCGGCUCAUCGCAUCCUGGGGCUGUAGUCGGUCCCAAGGGUUGGGCUGUUCGCCCAUUAAAGCGGUACGCGAGCUGGGUUCAGAACGUCGUGAGACAGUUCGGUCCCUAUCCGUCGUGGGCGUAGGAAAUUUGAGAGGAGCUGUCCUUAGUACGAGAGGACCGGGAUGGACAUACCUCUGGUGUACCAGUUGUCGUGCCAACGGCAUAGCUGGGUAGCUAUGUGUGGACGGGAUAAGUGCUGAAAGCAUCUAAGCAUGAAGCCCCCCUCAAGAUGAGAUUUCCCAACUUCGGUUAUAAGAUCCCUCAAAGAUGAUGAGGUUAAUAGGUUCGAGGUGGAAGCAUGGUGACAUGUGGAGCUGACGAAUACUAAUCGAUCGAAGACUUAAUCAA
rnacentral:rRNA from 1 species